rnacentral:rRNA from 1 species
CUCGUAGGCGGCCUGCCAAGUCCCACGUGAAAGACCAGGGCUCAACCCUGGGAACGCGCAGGAAACUGGCAAGCUGGAAUCUUGGAGGGGGUACUGGAAUUCCUGGUGUAGGGGUGAAAUCUGUUGAUAUCAGGAAGAACACCGGAGGCGAAGGCGAGUACCUGGCCAAAGAUUGACGCUGAUGAGCGAAAGCGUAGGGAGCGAACAGGAUUAGAUACCCUGGUAGUCC